UCGUGUAUAGUCUAACGGCUAUGAUACCACUCUCUCAUCUAGUGUGGUCAGUGGGGGCCGGGGUUCGACUCCCCGUACGCGAA